rnacentral:rRNA from 1 species
CCUACGGGGUGCAGCAGUGAGGAAUAUUGGUCAAUGGCCGAGAGGCUGAACCAGCCAAGUCGCGUGAGGGAAGACGGCCCUACGGGUUGUAAACCUCUUUUGUCGGGGAGCAAAGCGAGUCACGUGUGACUCAUUGAGAGUACCCGAAGAAAAAGCAUCGGCUAACUCCGUGCCAGCAGCCGCGGUAAUACGGAGGAUGCGAGCGUUAUCCGGAUUUAUUGGGUUUAAAGGGUGCGCAGGCGGAGGUGCAAGUCAGCGGUCAAAUUGCGGGGCUCAACCCCGUACUGCCGUUGAAACUGCAGCCCUUGAGUGCGAGAGAAGUAUGCGGAAUGCGUGGUGUAGCGGUGAAAUGCAUAGAUAUCACGCAGAACUCCGAUUGCGAAGGCAGCAUACCGGCGCGCAACUGACGCUCAUGCACGAAAGCGUGGGUAUCGAACAGGAUUAGAUACCCGAGUAGUC